AUGCUUAACCUAACUAAUUAUCAGGGAAAUGAAAAUCAAAACAUAAUGAGGCCAGGCGAGGUGGCUCAUGCCUAUAAUCCCAGCACUUUGGGAGGUCGAGGUGGGCAGAUCAUGAGAUCAGAAGAUCAAGACCAUCCUGGUCAACAUGGUGAAACUAUAUAUUUGCUCCAACAGUGGUGGUGCAGCACAUUAGUGAACCUAAGAGCAUCCCCUGAUAAGCCUCUGACAUACAGGGCAAUGAGGCAAGAGAAGGAAAUACAGCGUAUUCAAACAGGAAGAGAGGAAGUCAAAAUGUCUGUUUGCAGACGACAUGGUUGUAUAUUUAGAAAACCCUGUCGUCUCAGCCAAAAAUCUUCUUACGCUGAUAAGCAACUUUAGCAAAGUCUCAGGAUACAAAAUCAAUAUGCAGAAAUCACAAGCAUUCCUAUACACCAAUAAUAGACGAAUAGAGAGCCAAAUCAUGAGUGUACUCCCAUUCACAAUUGCUACAAAGAGAACAAAAUACAUAGGAAUACAACUUACAAGGAAUGUGAAGGACCUCUUCAAGGAGAACUACCAAGCAUGGCUCAAGGAAAUAACUGAGGACACAAACAAAUGGAAAAGCAUUCCAUGCUCAUGAAUAGGAAGAAUCAAUAUUGUGAAAAUGGCCAUACUGCCCAAAGUAAUUUAUAGAUUCAGUGCUAUCCCCAUCAAGCUACCAUCAACUUUCUUCACAGAAUUAGAAAAACUACAUUAAAUUUCAUAUGGAACCAAGAAAGAGCCUGUAUAGUCAAGAGGAUCUUAAGCAAAAGAACAAAGCUGGAGGCAUCAUGCUACCUAACUUCAAACUAUACUACAAGGCUACAGUAACCAAAACAACAUGAUACUGGUACCAAAACAGAGAUAUAGACCAAUGGAACAGAACAGCAGCCUCAGAAGUAAUGCCACACAUCUACAACCAUCUGAUCUCUGACAAACCUGACAGAAACAAGCAAUGGGGAAAGGACUCCCUAUUUAAUAAAUGGUGUUGGGAAAACUGCCUAGCCAUGUCCAGAAAACUGAAACUGGACCCAUUCCUUAAAACGUAUACAAAAAUUAACUCAAGGUGGACUAAAGACUUAAAUGUAAGACCUAAAACUGUAAAAUUCCUAGAAGAAAAACCUAGGCAAUACCAUUCAGGACAUAGGCAUGGGCAAAGACUUCACGAUUAAAACACCAAAAGCAAUGGCAACAAAAGCCAAAGUUGACAAAUGAGAUCUAAUUAAACUGAAGAGCUUCUGCACAGCAAAAGAAAUUAUCAUCAGAGUGAACAGGUAAGAGUAUUCCAUGGUGUAUAUGUACCACAUUUUCUCUGUCCAGUCUAUCACUGAUGGGCAUUUGGGUUGGUCCCAAGUCUUUGCUAUUGUGAACAGUGCUGCAAUAAACAUACAUGUGCAUGUGUCUUAACAGUAGAAUGAUUUCUAGUAUAUACCCAGUAAUGGGACUGCUGGAUCAAAUGGUAUUUCUGGUUUUAGAUCCUUGAGGAAAUCAUUCUACUCUUAAGACACAUGCACAUGUAUGUUUAUUGCAGCACUGUUCACAAUAGCCUAUCUUGUUCUACUACAUUCCUAUUUUGUGGAUUCAUAAAAGACGUUUUGUUAACAAUUUUGUAUGUUUGAACUUUCUAAAUAGUUUCUGACGUAUAUAAAUGACAAAAGAAGCAACUAAACCUAAUUUUGUUUUAACUAGUUUCAUAUUAUAAGUUUUGUCAUGAUGAAAGUUGCCAUUUAUAUCCAGGAAACAUCCCAGUUCUGGCACAUUUCUGCCACAUUUCCUUCUGCCAGCCCCUCAGUUUUGACCUUUGUCAUUUCACACAGAGAUAAGCAUGAUGUACUUUAAUAAUAAAAUAAAAUAAAUCUCUGGCAUAAUUAUAUCCAUUUCAGAGUCUGCUUCCUGGGAAACCCAAUCUGCAACACUUGUUUUUGACUCCUGUAUGGGAAUGUUUUAUUGAUUGCUUCUCUCACCCAUCCCUUCAACAAUUUUAUUCCUAAAGGUAAUGACUGCUUCUCUAGUGCUUUGGAAUUUUAUCCGAAGUUGCUAACACCUGCUCAUUUUGCAAGUUUUGAAGCUGGUACCUUUGACCUUCCAUGUUAAAUAGACAAUGGCUACGACAUCACCACUACAAACUGGCCACCUAAACGCUACUGUAAGAGGCCAUUGUAACUCUCAGCCCCAUUUCAAAGGUAUGAAAAAUAGGAGGAAAAUUUGCAUCUUUCAGGGUCGUUUCUCCUAUUCCUCUGGGUUUCUUUUGGAUGUAAGAGGUUCAGAUGACUUCAUGGCCUUAGGGAUGGGUAUUUUGUCUGUGGGCUAUUUGACGCAAGGCUGGCCUCUGCCAAACAGCCUUGUCCUGCUUGGCCUUUGGCAGUGGCCUCUUUCCUUGGUGGCCAAAGGUCGCAGCUGGUCUAUUUCUUGACCUGUGCUUAAGGGUCUCUGGGAGUUUGGGGCCUCAUCUCAGUUCUGGCGAUCCCUUGAGAUCUGUCUGUGACUUGGGCCCUCCAAUUCAGGUCUCUGUGCCCCUUGCCCUUGUGAAGUCUUCCACUCCCUCUUAGCUGUCAUCUGAGAAACACUAGGUCCUUGCAGUCUAGGUUAGCCCUGCCACUAUUUAAACUCCAUGCUGCUCACUUCAUGUUGGCAUAGGACACUUAGAGAGUUUUCUUCCUUCUUAGGGCUCCAGGGGAGAGGCAGGGGUUUCAUCAGACCCUCAAAACGAAGUCCUUCCUUCCCGCUUCAGGGUUUCAGCAUUAGGAGCGGGCCGGACCAGAGCCCCAAUUCAGAAAUACUCACCUGCAUCUAAAUUUCUUACCUUUCUUCAAACCUUCUUUCUGCCUUAUGUGCUUAAUUUUUCGAGUAUGAAAAUUGCUUUCACAUCAUUUUUUGGGUCCUCUCAAGUCUGUGGUUCAUAGUACACAUGUUUGUGGUUAGUCUAAGAUUGGCUGUUGAUAUUUAAACCCGAGUUUCUGGAAUUCUAAGCCAACUGACUUCUUCCUUUCUUCUUUCUCUCCGUCUCUUCUUCCUCCCCCUUGUCUUUCUCCUUUGCCUUCUGCUGAAAUCUCAACAAAGCCUGACCCUUUCAAUAAAAAAUCCUUUAUGUGUGCUGUGAGUUAAAAAUUCUGUUCAGCAAUUCAGUUGACUUACUUGAAUCAGUUUGUAUCAAAAUAUUUUCCAGACUCCAGAUACAUAUCACACUGUUCUCUGCAAUGAAUUUAUCUUCUGUCUCAGGUCUAUGAAACAUUUAAUAAGAGUGAUCAGUUAUUAAGCCACAAGAAAAAUUUUAACAUGUUCCAAGAACAAGAAAUCAUGCAGGCCACAAUCUUGGACCACAGUGCAGAGAAACUGAGCAUUAAUGCCAAAACUUUAAAAAUAAUAAAAAACCAACACACUCCUAUGUAACUUUUAGAUGAAAGAGAAAUCAGAACUAUAAUUACAGAUUAUACAGAAACAAUGAAAACAAGAACAUUAUAUAAAUUAGAAGGCCAAGGUUGUACACAUAGAACAGCUAAAGUUUUAAGGGCUUUUAUAAUUAAACAAGAAAAAAGAAUAGAAAUAAAUUUUUCAACUAGAAGUUAAAAAGAGAGCCAAGAGAAUAUGACUAGGGAAAUAGAAAGAAGAAAUUGAGACUAAGGCGGAAAUUAAUGGUUAGAAGAGAGAAAAUUCAAUGAAUUGGAUACAGAGAUGGUUCCUUAAAAUACCAGAAAAAAAGAGAAACAUCUGCAAAGCUAGUCAAGAUAAAUAAGAGGAACAAACAAACAAUUGGGAUGAGAACAGAAUAUAAUGACAAGUAAAAGGAAGAUUUACAGGUUUAUUUUGUAGGUUAUGUUGAACUCUGUGCUAAAGUUGUGAAAUCUGGGUAAAAUGAAUGAUAUCCUAAUAAAACAUGAACAAACAAAAUUUAUUAGAGAAGAAGAAAAUAUAAAUAUACUCAUGAUCUUGGAAGAAAAUUUAAAAGUUGUCAAAGCUCUCCCAAAAUGCGUCUAGAUUUUACAAGCUAAUUCCAUUAGAACUUCAUGGAGCACAUAAUUGCCAUGUGGUUUAGACUGUUCAGAGCAUAGGAAAAGAUGGAGCAUGAUCCACAAUUUUGUUAAAGUAGCAUAAUCUUGGUAUCAAAACUCGUGGCAGAAAUCUACUAAAAUCUCAAAUAUGAAUAUGGUUCCAAGAAUCCCAGGUAAAAUACUAACAAAUCAAAUUCUACAGAACAACAAAAUAACCAUGUGAUAUCAGGGUUUUUCUAAGAAUGCAGGCAUAGUUCAAUAAUAGAAAAAUCUCAAACAUUGUAGGUGGGGAAAUAAAUUGAUACAGCUUUUGGGGAGGAUAAUUUGGCACAACCUAUCAAAUUUAGAAAUGCAUCUAAUGUGUGACUUGGCAAUUCCUGUUACAGUUAUCUGUAUCCUAAAAAAGUUAUGGGCACAAGAUGUUAGUACAAGAAUGCUUUUACUGCAACAUUUUUCCUUGGUAAUACAAAAAAAGAGAAACAG
ensembl:lncRNA